rnacentral:rRNA from 1 species
GAUGAACGCUGGCGGCGUGCCUAAUACAUGCAAGUCGAGCGAACAGACGAGGAGCUUGCUCCUCUGACGUUAGCGGCGGACGGGUGAGUAACACGUGGAUAACCUACCCAUAAGACUGGGAUAACUUCGGGAAACCGGAGCUAAUACCGGAUAAUAUAUUGAACCGCAUGGUUCAAUAGUGAAAGACGGUUUUGCUGUCACUUAUAGAUGGAUCCGCGCCGCAUUAGCUAGUUGGUAAGGUAACGGCUUACCAAGGCAACGAUGCGUAGCCGACCUGAGAGGGUGAUCGGCCACACUGGAACUGAGACACGGUCCAGACUCCUACGGGAGGCAGCAGUAGGGAAUCUUCCGCAAUGGGCGAAAGCCUGACGGAGCAACGCCGCGUGAGUGAUGAAGGUCUUCGGAUCGUAAAACUCUGUUAUUAGGGAAGAACAAAUGUGUAAGUAACUAUGCACGUCUGGACGGUACCUAAGCAGAAAGCCACGGCUAACUACGU